UACGGGGGAGCAAGCGUUGUUCGGAUUUACUGGCGUAAAGGGCGCGUAGGCGGCCACGAACAAGUCACUUGUGAAAUCUCCGGGCUUAACCCGGUAGCGGCCAAGUGAUACUGUUGGGCUAGAGUGCGGAAGGGGCAACUGGAAUUCGUCGGUGUAGCGGUGAAAUGCGUAGAUAUCGAGAGGAACACCUGCGGCGAAGGCGGGUUGCUGGGCCGACACUGACGCUGAGGCGCGAAAGCUAGGGGAGCGAACGGG
rnacentral:rRNA from 1 species